AUACGGAGGACGCGAGCGUUAUCCGGAUUCAUUGGGUUUAAAGGGUGCGCAGGCGGCCGUGCAAGUCAGCGGUGAAAGCCCGGGGCUCAACCCCGGAAGUGCCGUUGAUACUGCAUGGCUGGAAUGCGGUCGAGGCGGGCGGAACGUGGCGUGUAGCGGGGAAAUGCGUAGAUAUGGCACAGAACGCCGAUAGCGGAGGCAGCUCGCCAGGCCUGCAUUGACGCUCGGGCACGAAAGCGUGGGGAUCGAACAGGAUUAGAUACCCUGGUAGUCCACGCCGUAAACGAUAGGCGCUCGUCGUCGGCGACAGACAGUCGGCGGCCAAGCGAAAGCGAUAAGCGCCCCACCUGGGGAGUACGGUCGCAAGGCUGAAACUCAAAUGAAUUGACGGGG
rnacentral:rRNA from 1 species